rnacentral:rRNA from 1 species
UACGUAGGGUGCAAGCGUUGUCCGGAAUUAUUGGGCGUAAAGAGCUCGUAGGCGGUCUGUUACGUCGGCUGUGAAAACCUGGGGCUCAACUCCGGGCCUGCAGCCGAUACGGGCAGACUAGAGUUCGGCAGGGGAGACUGGAAUUCCUGGUGUAGCGGUGAAAUGCGCAGAUAUCAGGAGGAACACCGGUGGCGAAGGCGGGUCUCUGGGCCGAAACUGACGCUGAGGAGCGAAAGCGUGGGGGGCAAACAGG